UUCAAAGGAGGAGACUUUACCAUAGUGGACUGGAAUGACUUUAGGGUAGAAGUAACAAAGUUUGUCUUAAGAGUGACAGGAGGAAACACCAAACACACUGUGCUGAGAUACCAGCACAGUGAGACAGAUACAAUGAGGCAUGUGCUGAGAGGUGGAGGGAGUGAAAAAGAGAGGGAGGUGGAAAUGGAGGAGAUGGAGUGAAUCAAUGUGCUUGUCACAUCUCCAUCCCCUGGGAUCCAUGUUUUUUAAUCUAAUUAGCCAGCCGGGUCUUUGUGUUGCCUGUCUAUCAGCGGCAGCGUCUCAAGGUCAGAUCCUCCUUCAGAGGUCUGGGCAGAAACAGCGCUCCUGUUGGUAUUCAAUUACAGCUUAGCCUCAGACUCUCACCCUGCACAUCAGACCUCUCUGUUCUGCACAGCAUCCAGUGAAAGCUCACUGUGUGCACACAUGCAUCAGAACUACAAACACGAACACGAACACACACACACACGAACUCUGCUUGCACUGUGAUUAUUCCAACACACACUCAUUAGGGUUCAGAGGAAUAGAUCAGAGCUCUGUGUGUAAUCUCAAUCAGUCAGUCGGUAAGUCAAACCCUCAUCUGCAAAUAUCUCUAUGUCCGCAUAAAUCUGUCUUUAUGUCUGUCUGCCAAUGAAUGCAUGAAUGAACAAAUUAACAAUCGAUCAGCUUGGAAAUACACUGAUCAAUCAUUGGGGCCAUUGCUGAGGUCAUAGAGACACGAUUUGCUGCUCUGUCUGUGGUGAUAUGCUCUCUGAGGUGCUUCAUCAGUGGCUCUUCACUUCAGCAGAGCUACAGGGACUUUCACUAACACUUAUUACCUGGACCUUCUUACUAAUCACCUGUGUCAAACCCUUGAUCCUGAUUGGCCAAAAGCCCCCAACAAACCACAUCACACACAUGAUAUCAGGGCAAUCCAUGUUGAGAAGUUUGGUGCAUUUGUGAAAUUUAUGAUGCUGGUGGUAGUAGACAACAUGGGGGAUACUUUUAAUAUGACUUUCAAUUAUUGUGGGAGAGGGAAAGAGGCAAAUGUUAACCAUGCAGAAAAUUGUAAGGGGUUUCAAACCACACAAGAAAUAUACCGCACGUCAACGGUGUCUUUAAUUUGUAUCUGGGUAAUUUCCAGAAUGAUUUCCAGCGUGCAGGUGUCCAUGUGUGAUGAACCUCGGCGGGGUAAACAAGACUGGACACGAAUCGUUUUCUAUUAUUGACAAUAGGGCUAUCUCAAAUUCACCUACAAAAUACGAUCAAGGCCAUGAAUGAUGAGAGUGACAAUUUUCAUAUUGUCGUUUUUAACACCUGGGAGGUAUCAAACAAGAUGAUUCACAGCAUGGUUUACAGAAAUAGCCUUUAAUACCUUUUAAAUCCAAAUAUUCAUGGUAUCUAGCUGUUAAGAGACAGCAGGAUAGAGCUUCUGUCUGCACUACUUUUUGCAUAACCACACCUCAGAAACAGUCUUCUUCUGCAUUUUAGAAACAUCCUAUCUUUUCUUGAUUUGGUUUUCUGGUGAGCUAGUUGGUCCUCCUAUUCUGCAGCUAGUUUGUCUUUGUGGCAAAAAAAGGGAUUAUGGAACAUUAUGGAAAUUCAUACCUUCAAUGGAAAUGGAACAUUAGUUUAAAUGAGUUCAAACAUGCUGUAAACCUAUUUUGUAGGCUGACCAUACAUCCUCUUUUACCCGGCCAUAUCUUCUUUUUAGGUGCUGCCCAGCCUUGUCUGGCAUGUCUGAUGGGAGUUUACAAAAUCCUUCAAAUGUUUGGAGGUUUUGUAUGGAAGUUUUGAGUGUGUGUAGCAUGGACUGAGUUAGAAGCGCGUUAAAAACGACCCAAAAAACCCUCAAAAUUUUGCGUGCGACUCCGCCCUGCUUAGUAGUGGGGGAUGCAGAAUAUGGUCACCCUACAUUUUGAGGAUGUGAUGUGAAAUUUCAAUAUACUGUGUGAGCUCUCACUUCACUGAAGCACUUGGGUUUGGGAAGACUUUUCCCUGGAAAAGUCGCGCCUCCUUCGCUUCUGAUUGGCAAGAAAAGCUGGAAACGUCAUCACACGCUCAAGCUAAAUGGUUAGCACUUACGGCCAAUAAGAGGCAAUAAGAUAAGCUCAUAAAACUAUGGUAACAACCGUUAGCUAAUGCUAGCACAGAUAAAAGUUAAAACAAAGAUGUUUAGCAAACUGUUAAAGCACACAAACCAUCGUCAUAUGAGAGAUCCAACGCUAUGUUGUCCUUCAGGUCGUUAUCUUUUAAAAUAUUUGUGUUUUUUAUCAUAAAGUACCUUGUUCUCAAACACGUAAACAAUCAGCUGGUCGACCUAUUGGAUAUACCGGUGAAUUAGAAAUCACAACAACACGCAAUCUGAUUGGUCAGAAGUGGACACACAGUAUGUGAAACUUUAGAAAAAUCCACCGUGAUCCAAAAAAGAAAUGCCGCAAUAUCACAGGACGGGAAAACAUCGCUGAUGUGAAUGCUUGUAUUGACAGGAGACGGGUUCGAAAGAAAAUAUUGUCGUCCAAAAUAAUCGCAUUGAAGUUUGCGACAAAAAAAAUAAAAAUAAAAAUCACCAGACAAGACUUGGAAAAUUUUAAAAAGUAAAUUACAUUCUGUACACAUUAAUUAUGUUUUUUGUUUUGUUUGUUUGUUUUGUUUUGUAAGUUAUGAUGUUAAAUGUACAUUUUUUUGGACAAAGUUACCUCAUAUUGCUGAAGCAAAGACUUGAAAAAAGACUUCCAAUAGAGUUGUGGUUAAACAGCGCAGACAGGAUGACAGGUUCUGACUUCCACAUGGAGUCACAGUGUUUCUUAUUGUACUUUUAGUCACAUUAAAUGAACCAGAGCAUUACUAAAUCAAAGACCUUGUAUCGCAUCGAUCUGUGAGGGCCAAAGAGAGCAGCUAAACAUCAGCCCUGGCUCUAGACUGGCCUGGCACAUCGAUUUUACUCCUACCUGAUACGAUGUCACCCAGAUUAUUGCCAAGCUUGAAAUGCGUCAUAAAACAGUUCCAUUGUGGAGACAUUUUCUGCCUCAUAAAGAAGCCAAACAGAGAGGAGCCCCGCUGAUGGAGACAGCUGACACGGCUGGGUAAAUGAGAUAUACUGCUGAAACACCCAAACGCUGGCUGGGUCAGGGAAGAUCUGCUAAACACCUGGAGUUGGAUGGAUCAAAGAGUUCCUAAAAAGCUUCAAUACAAAAGAGAAGCUUAUUGGAUCAGGAGUAAGGCCCUUACUCACACGAUUAGAUGAAACAAUAAUCCCUGUGAGGAAAUUGGGUUGUUACUUUAGAUUUAUUUUGAAAGGAAUAGCAGGGAGGCGGUGUUUAUAUUCGCCAAAACUGCAAGUCUAUAAUUAAACUGGGAUAAAAUAAAAAUACACAAUAACCAAUAAAAAACAGCUGAAUGAAUGAAAGACAUUCAGAUACAGGCAUCAGACAUUAUAGGAAUGAAAAGGGAAUAAAUGAGAAAAAAAAAAAAAAAACAGCACAGCUGUAGUUAUGAAUAAAGACAAAGACAAUAAAGAUAAAUAUAUUCACUUUUUCUCUCAGCCGAUCCAUUUGUAGUCUAUUUAGAAGAAUAAUGUAAUGAGAAAUCAACAUAUUUGUCUAAUAUCUCAUAUGAAAGCUUGAUUAGCUGUAUGAACUGAAAGAUACACAUUUCAAGUCAUUCAUUAAGAAAGUUAGUGAAAAGGUUUCUUAUUGAAAACAUAUCUCAGUAAUUUUGCUCAUUAACAGCGUCAGUGAUGGCACUUCUCUCACAGCCAACUUACAUAACCUUCUGUACGAAACAAACUAUGAACAAGGAUACCUGUCAGCUGUCUUUCAGUCUUUUACUGCUGUAGGGUUUUUAAAUUAACGAAAAGCCAGAGGCUGUUUUGUGUCGGAGUGUCCUUGAGCAAAAAAAAAAAUAAUAAUGUGAAUCUACAAGCUGAUAUGAAGUCUUUACUCGUUCAGUUUUUUGUGAUAAUCCAAAAAUCAUCCAGUCUGGCAGAUCCUCUUUCAAAAAACCUCAAACAAAACGGUCCCCUUUCUCCCAUCUAAUAUCUGAAAAUUUUGAGGGGAGUCUUCACUGUGAGCGAACAGAUAUUUUAUUAGACAGGUGCGUGAUAGGAAUAAGAAAAAUGAAAAGUCCUCAACAAGGAGACUGUCAAGGUAUCUUCAUGUAUUUAAUCAGAACUGAGACAAACUGGAGGUGGUGGUGAGGAUGCUUAUAUAAUGGUCACAUCUGCUCUGUCACCUGUGGGAGUAAACACUGAGGGCUCUAUUUUCGUUCGCGCCGGUGAGGCGGCGGAGGGCGGCGAGCCCCGCGCAGUUGUAUUUUCGUCUGGCGGAGCCCGGCGUAAGGCGAGUUUGGUAUUUUCGUGGACUGAGUCGCAAGGAGGCGAGCCGAGAUCCGCCAAGCUGGGCGUGGUGGCGUGGCAGGGGGAGGUGUUGACAGAAUCAGCUGGCGCAGUGACAUUUUCGUGCUCGCCACCGGCGUGUAACGUGCGCUGAAAGCUCGCCGAUUCAAACCUGGUCAGCUUUCAGCGCAAGGCGGAACGCAGCUGGUCUAGUAGUAUUUUGGUAGACCGGCGGCGUAUCGACAUACGUCACUGAUGCCUCACCGGCAGGUUUCCACAGUGUCAGGCAGAUUUCAGUGCAAUAAAUAAUCAUCAACAACUAUUAAUCUGAGUCAGCACAUACAUUUAGAUCUAUAUCGAUAUAUUCUGAUUUAUAUCUGAUCUGAUGAGCGCAUUUGGCACGCGUUUGGGCACACAACCUGACCGAAUUAACACAGCUGAAACUGCAUCAAAUUAAAUUAAAUAUCUAGUAAAUAAACACACAUGAUGAAGUUAACAAGAUAUGUAAUGUGUCUCCCUCCUUUUCUUUCUUCCUCUUAUUUCUCGCACAGCUCGACCUGGACACGUCUCCGUGUCCUCUGUCCAUCUUGCUGCUGCUGCUGCAGCUGAACAGAUGAUUUGUUUCAGUGCUCAGAUGCGUGAUCUACUUUAAGCCGACACACGGAUAUUAUAAUAUUCA